rnacentral:rRNA from 1 species
UACGUAGGGGGCAAGCGUUGUCCGGAAUCAUUGGGCGUAAAGCGCGUGUAGGCGGUCCGGUAAGUCCGUUGUGAAAGUCAAGGGCUCAACCCUUGAAUGCCGGCGGAUACUGCCGGGCUAGAGUCCGGAAGAGGUGAGUGGAAUUCCCGGUGUAGCGGUGAAAUGCGCAGAUAUCGGGAGGAACACCAAUGGCGAAGGCAGCUCACUGGGACGGUACUGACGCUGAGACGCGAAAGCGUGGGGAGCAAACAGGAUUAGAUACCCUUGUAGU